rnacentral:rRNA from 1 species
CUACGGGAGGCAGCGGCAAGGAAUUUUCCGCAAUGGACGCAAGCCUGACGGAGCAACGCCGCGUGAAGGAUGAAGUAUUUCGGUAUGUAAACUUCGAAAGAAUAGGAAGAAUAAAUGACGGUACUAUUUAUAAGCUCCGGCUAACUACGUGCCAGCAGCCGCGGUAAUACGUAGGGAGCAAGCGUUGUUCGGAUUUACUGGGCGUAAAGGGCGCGUAGGCGGCGCGGUAAGUCACUUGUGAAAUCUCUGAGCUUAACUCAGAACGGCCAAGUGAUACUGCAGUGCUAGAGUGCAGAAAGGGCAAUCGGAAUUCUUGGUGUAGCGGUGAAAUGCGUAGAUAUCAAGAGGAACACCUGAGGCGAAGGCGGGUUGCUAGGCUGACACUGACGCUGAGGCGCGAAAGCGUGGGGAGCAAACAGGAUUAGAUACCCCUGUAGUCC